rnacentral:rRNA from 1 species
UACGGAGGGUGCGAGCGUUGUCCGGAAUUACUGGGCGUAAAGGGCUCGUAGGCGGCCAACUAAGUCAGACGUGAAAUCCCUCGGCUUAACCGGGGAACUGCGUCUGAUACUGGAUGGCUAGAGGUUGGGAGAGGGAUGCGGAAUUCCAGGUGUAGCGGUGAAAUGCGUAGAUAUCUGGAGGAACACCGGUGGCGAAGGCGGCAUCCUGGACCAAUUCUGACGCUGAGGAGCGAAAGCCAGGGGAGCAAACGGG